AGUGAACGCUGGCGGUAGGCCUAACACAUGCAAGUCGAACGGCAGCACAGUAAGAGCUUGCUCUUACGGGUGGCGAGUGGCGGACGGGUGAUGAAUACAUCGGAAUCUACUUUUUCGUGGGUGAUAACGUAGGGAAACUUACGCUAAUACCGCAUACGACCUACGGGUGAAAGCAGGGGAUCUUCGGACCUUGCGCGAUUGAAUGAGCCGAUGUCGGAUUAGCUAGUUGGCGGGGUAAAGGCCCACCAAGGCGACGAUCCGUAGCUGGUCUGAGAGGAUGGUCAGCCACACUGGAACUGAGAAACGGUCCAGACUCCUACGGGAGGCAGCAGUGGGGAAUAUUGGACAAUGGGCGCAAGCCUGAUCCAGCCAUACCGCGUGGGUGAAGAAGGCCUUCGGGUUUUAAAGCCCUUUUGUUGGGAAAGAAAAGCAGCAGGUUAAUACCCCGCUGUUCUGACGGUACCCAAAGAAUAAGCACCGGCUAACUUCGUG
rnacentral:rRNA from 1 species